UGUGUAGGCGGUUUAUUAAGUCUAAGAUCAAAGCCCGAGGCUCAACCUCGGUUCGUCCUAGAAACUGGUAGACUUGAGUGUAGUAGAGGCAAAUGGAAUUUCUAGUGUAGCGGUUAAAUGCGUAGAUAUUAGAAGGAACACCAGUGGCGAAGGCGAUUUGCUGGGCUAUUACUGACGCUGAGACACGAAAGCGUGGGGAGCAAACAGGAUUAGAUACCCUGGUAGUCC
rnacentral:rRNA from 1 species